rnacentral:rRNA from 1 species
AGAGUUUGAUCAUGGCUCAGGACGAACGCUGGCGGCGCGCUUAAUACAUGCAAGUCGAGCGAGAACCAGGGCUUCGGCCCUGGGGACAGCGGCGAACGGGUGAGUAACACGUGGGUAAUCAACCCUCGACACUGGGAUAGCCCGGGGAAACCCGGAUUAAUACCGGAUGUCCCGCCUGGCUCUCGAGCCGGUCGGAAAAGGUAGCUUCGGCCUCCGGUCGAGGACGAGCCCGCGGCGGAUUAGCUUGUUGGCGGGGUAACGGCCCACCAAGGCGACGAUCCGUAGCUGGUCUGAGAGGACGAUCAGCCACACUGGGACUGAGACACGGCCCAGACUCCUACGGGAGGCAGCAGUAGGGAAUCUUGCGCAAUGGGCGAAAGCCUGACGCAGCGACGCCGCGUGAGGGAAGAAGGCCUUCGGGUUGUAAACCUCUUUCAGGAGGGACGAAGCCACUCGGGUUAAUAGCCCAGAGGGUGACGGUACCUCCAGAAGAAGCCCCGGCUAACUACGUGCCAGCCGCCGCGGUAAUUC